GCUAAAAUAGCAAAGCGGUGAAUGCAGUAGAUUUAGGUUUUAUUAUCAAAGGUUCGAAUCCUUUUUUUAGUU
rnacentral:tRNA from 1 species